AUCCCUUAGGAGACUUCUGAUAAAAUUGGAACGAUACAAAGACGAUUAACAUGAUCGCUGCACAAGAAUGACAAGCACAAAUUGAAAAUGGUCCAGUAAAGAU
rfam:Nicotiana sylvestris Nsyl_contig16639, whole genome shotgun sequence.